CUCCCCAAGUAGGAUUCGAACCUACGACCAGUCG
rnacentral:tRNA from 1 species